AUUGAACGCUGGCGGAAUGCUUUACACAUGCAAGUCGAACGGCAGCACGGGGGCAGCCCUGGUGGCGAGUGGCGAACGGGUGAGUAAUACAUCGGAACGUGCCCGGUCGUGGGGGAUAACGUAGCGAAAGUUACGCUAAUACCGCAUACGAUCUGAGGAUGAAAGCGGGGGACCUUCGGGCCUCGCGCGAUCGGAGCGGCCGAUGUCAGAUUAGGUAGUUGGUGGGGUAAAGGCCUACCAAGCCGACGAUCCGUAGCUGGUCUGAGAGGACGACCAGCCACACUGGGACUGAGACACGGCCCAGACUCCUACGGGAGGCAGCAGUGGGGAAUUUUGGACAAUGGGCGCAAGCCUGAUCCAGCCAUUCCGCGUGCAGGACGAAGGCCUUCGGGUUGUAAACUGCUUUUGUACGGAACGAAAAGGCUCUGGCUAAUACCUGGGGCUCAUGACGGUACCGGAAGAAUAAGCACCGGCUAACUACGUG
rnacentral:rRNA from 1 species